rnacentral:rRNA from 1 species
GCGCGAAACCUUUGCAAUGCGCGUAAGCGUGACAGGGUAAUUCCGAGUGCUAUUCCCACCAGGGAAUAGCUUUUGUCGAGUUUAAGAAGCUCGGCGAAUAAGGGCUGGGUAAGACCAGUGCCAGCCGCCGCGGUAACACCGGCAGACCAAGUGGUACCCACGAAUAUUGGGCCUAAAGCGCCCGUAGCCGGUCCGUUAAGUCCACUGUGAAAUCCUCAGGCUCAACUUUGAGGGCGUGCAGCGGAUACUGGUGGACUUGGGAACGGGAGACGUGUGGAGUACUUCCGGGGGAGAGGUAAAAUUCUGUAAUCCUGGAAGGACUAACGGUGGCGAAGGCGCCACACGAGAACGUGUCCGACGGUGAGGGGCGAAGGCUGGGGGAGCAAACGGG